rnacentral:rRNA from 1 species
GACGAACGCUGGCGGCGUGCUUAAGACAUGCAAGUCGAACGGACUUGGUCCUUCGGGACCAAGUUAGUGGCGGACGGGUGAGUAACACGUGAGCAACCUGCCCUUCUACCUGGGAUAACACCGCGAAAGCGGUGCUAAUACCGGAUACGCUCCCGAGGUCGCAUGGCCAUGGGAGGAAAGGGGGAGGAGCCUCCAUUGGAGGCUCGCUCCCAUAGAAGGAGGGGCUCGCGGCCCAUUAGCUAGUUGGUGUGGUAAUGGCGCACCAAGGCGACGAUGGGUAGCCGGCCUGAGAGGGUGAACGGCCACACUGGGACUGAGAUACGGCCCAGACUCCUACGGGAGGCAGCAGUCGGGAAUCUUCGGCAAUGGGCGAAAGCCUGACCGAGCAACGCCGCGUGGGUGAGGACGGCCUUCGGGUUGUAAAGCUCUGUCCUCGGGGACGAAAAAAAUGACGGUACCCGAGGAGGAAGCCCCGGCUAACUACGUG